ensembl:rRNA 5S_rRNA 5S ribosomal RNA
GUCUACGCCCAUACCACCCUGAACAUGCCCAUUCUCAUCUGAUCUAGGAAGCUAAGCAGGGUCGGGCCUGGUUAGUACUUGGAUGGGAGAUAGGACAGAGAUAAAUGGAGAGAACAGGGGAAGACA